UACGUAGGGGGCAAGCGUUGUCCGGAUUCAUUGGGCGUAAAGAGCGUGUAGGCGGCCAGGUAGGUCGGUUGUGAAAACUGGAGGCUCAACCUUCAGAGGUCGACCGAAACCAUCUGGCUAGAGUCCGGGAGAGGAGAGUAGAAUUCCUGGUGUAGCGGUGAAAUGCGCAGAUAUCAGGAAGAACACCCGUGGCGAAAGCGGCUCUCUGGGACGGUACUGACGCUGAGACGCGAAAGCGUGGGGAGCGAACAGG
rnacentral:rRNA from 1 species